GGCCUCAGCUGCGCUGCUCCAAGGGUGGAAUUGCAGGCAUCUGCCAAUAGGGAACAUUUCAAGGACAGGGAGUGCUCAGAGCAUCUCUCAAGAUUGCAGCUGUCACAGAAGUGCCAACCCGGUGCUCCUCUCCUGCCUUUGGGUGGAAAUGUUACUGGCUUUUGCCAAUGGCACUGAGUAGAAAUGAUGACUCACUUCCAAGACAAGAAGCAUUGGCCUUUAGAAAACAGGUCUCUGGCUACAGGGAGCAUGCUUGGCCAUUGUGCAGAGAAAACGAAGUGCUGGAGACUUCAUGCCCCGUAAGCAGAUCUGAACCAGCGAUGGACGGCAAGUUGGUGAAUAAAUACUCUAGCUCCCCACUCCCUGACUGAGGUAACUCUGAGGCAUGUUCCACACUGUCUCCCAGAGCUUCCAAGCCUCCAGUUGCCCUGAGUGGUAACUAGCUUGAUAUAACAGUUAUCUACUGCUAUGGAGCAAGCCAUCCAAACAUUAUGUGAUGUGAACUAAUAAUCAUUAUUUCUCACAUUCUGUGGGUUGGUGGUUCUUCUGUUGGUCUCACCUAAGCUCCCCUGCACAGCUGCAUUCAGGAAAGGGGAA